rnacentral:rRNA from 1 species
GUAGGGGGGUCGAUUUAGCCAUGCUAGUUGCACGAGUUCACACUCGUGGCGAAAAGCUCAGUAACACGUGGCCAAACUACCCUACAGAGAACGAUAACCUCGGGAAACUGAGGCUAAUAGUUCAUACGGGAGUCAUGCUUGAAUGCCGACUCCCCGAAACGCUCCGGCGCUGUAGGAUGUGGCUGCGGCCGAUUAGGUAGACGGUGGGGUAACGGCCCACCGUGCCAAUAAUCGGUACGGGUUGUGAGAGCAAGAACCCGGAGACGGAAUCUGAGACAAGAUUCCGGGCCCUACGGGGCGCAGCAGGCGCGAAACCUUUACACUGCACGCAAGUGCGAUAAGGGGACCCCAAGUGCGAGGGCAUAUAGUCCUCGCUUUUCACGACUGUAAGGCGGUCGUGGAAUAAGAGCUGGGCAAGACCGGUGCCAGCCGCCGCGGUAAUACCGGCAGCUCAAGUGAUGACCGAUAUUAUUGGGCCUAAAGCGUCCGUAGCCGGCCACGAAGGUUCAUCGGGAAAUCCGCCAGCUCAACUGGCGGGCGUCCGGUGAAAACCACGUGGCUUGGGACCGGAAGGCUCGAGGGGUACGUCUGGGGUAGGAUGAAAUCCUGUAAUCCUGGACGGACCACCGAUGGCGAAAGCACCUCGAGAAGACGGAUCCGACGGUGAGGGACGAAAGCUAGGGUCUCGAACCGGAUUAGAUACCCGGGUAGUCCUAGCU